rnacentral:misc_RNA from 1 species
AACUUUCGACAAUGGAUCACUCGGCUCUUGCUUCGAAGAAGAACGCAGUCCAUUGCGAAAAGUCAUGCGACCUGCACUCUUUGAGAAGCAUAACUCUUUGAACGCACCUUGCGCGCAUCGACACUAGUUGGUGCGAGGUCCUGUUUGAGCAUAAUUAAUUACUAGUAUUUGGCCAUUUGCUGGUAGUAGAUGGCUUAAAGGCAAGCGGGAGCCCGAACGACUCUAGGGCAGCGAGACGAGUAGCGCGACAAGCACCACUACGCAACUCGCAACCGCCUUUACUAGUCGAGCUCACUAAAGCGAGCAUUGACUAAUUGUUGAGCUUGCUCAACAACCAGCCAAGCAUCUCAAAUCAGGAUAGAGGACCCGCUGAACUUAAGCAUAUCAAUAAGCGGAGGCU